GGUUAAGCGACUAAGCGUACACGGUGGAUGCCCUGGCAGUCAGAGGCGAUGAAGGGCGUGCUAAUCUGCGAUAAGCGCCGGUAAGGUGAUAUGAACCGUUAUAACCGGCGAUACCCGAAUGGGGAAACCCAGUGUGAUUCGUCACACUAUCAUUAACUGAAUCCAUAGGUUAAUGAGGCGAACCGGGGGAACUGAAACAUCUAAGUACCCCGAGGAAAAGAAAUCAACCGAGAUUCCCCCAGUAGCGGCGAGCGAACGGGGAGGAGCCCAGAGCCUGAAUCAGCAUGUGUGUUAGUGGAAGCGUCUGGAAAGGCGCGCGAUACAGGGUGACAGCCCCGUACACAAAAGCGCAUGUGCUGUGAGCUCGAUGAGUAGGGCGGGACACGUGGUAUCCUGUCUGAAUAUGGGGGGACCAUCCUCCAAGGCUAAAUACUCCUGACUGACCGAUAGUGAACCAGUACCGUGAGGGAAAGGCGAAAAGAACCCCGGCGAGGGGAGUGAAAAAGAACCUGAAACCGUGUACGUACAAGCAGUGGGAGCCCCACCACCAAAGCAUUCUCUGGUGUUGAAGGCCCUGCAAAGCAGCAUCGCGGUGGCGGAGCGUCGUUUGCGACGCCCAACACACAAAACAAGCGGUGAAUGCUUUGGGGUGGGGUGACUGCGUACCUUUUGUAUAAUGGGUCAGCGACUUAUAUUCUGUAGCAAGGUUAACCGAAUAGGGGAGCCGGAGGGAAACCGAGUCUUAAUUGGGCGUUAAGUUGCAGGGUAUAGACCCGAAACCCGGUGAUCUAGCCAUGGGCAGGUUGAAGGUUGGGUAACACUAACUGGAGGACCGAACCGACUAAUGUUGAAAAAUUAGCGGAUGACCUGUGGCUGGGGGUGAAAGGCCAAUCAAACCGGGAGAUAGCUGGUUCUCCCCGAAAGCUAUUUAGGUAGCGCCUCGUGAAUUCAUCUCCGGGGGUAGAGCACUGUUUCGGCUAGGGGGCCAUCCCGGCUUACCAACCCGAUGCAAACUGCGAAUACCGGAGAAUGUUAUCACGGGAGACACACGGCGGGUGCUAACGUCCGUCGUGAAGAGGGAAACAACCCAGACCGCCAGCUAAGGUCCCAAAGUCAUGGUUAAGUGGGAAACGAUGUGGGAAGGCCCAGACAGCCAGGAUGUUGGCUUAGAAGCAGCCAUCAUUUAAAGAAAGCGUAAUAGCUCACUGGUCGAGUCGGCCUGCGCGGAAGAUGUAACGGGGCUAAACCAUGCACCGAAGCUGCGGCAGCGAACGUAUCACCCAAGACAACUUUACGGAGUUGACGAUUGACGGAGCGAAGCGACGUCAAAGCGUUCAUUAAAGUCGAGUUGGCUUAGGGAUACGUUCGUUGGGUAGGGGAGCGUUCUGUAAGCCUGUGAAGGUGUGUCGUGAGGCAUGCUGGAGGUAUCAGAAGUGCGAAUGCUGACAUAAGUAACGAUAAAGCGGGUGAAAAGCCCGCUCGCCGGAAGACCAAGGGUUCCUGUCCAACGUUAAUCGGGGCAGGGUGAGUCGACCCCUAAGGCGAGGCCGAAAGGCGUAGUCGAUGGGAAACGGGUUAAUAUUCCCGUACUUGGUGUUACUGCGAAGGGGGGACGGAGAAGGCUAUGUUGGCCGGGCGACGGUUGUCCCGGUUUAAGCGUGUAGGUGUGUGUUCCAGGUAAAUCCGGUUCACUUUAACACUGAGGCGUGACGACGAGGCACUACGGUGCUGAAGCAACAAAUGCCCUGCUUCCAGGAAAAGCCUCUAAGCAUCAGGUAACACGAAAUCGUACCCCAAACCGACACAGGUGGUCAGGUAGAGAAUACCAAGGCGCUUGAGAGAACUCGGGUGAAGGAACUAGGCAAAAUGGUGCCGUAACUUCGGGAGAAGGCACGCUGACACGUAGGUGAAGUGAUUUACUCAUGGAGCUGAAGUCAGUCGAAGAUACCAGCUGGCUGCAACUGUUUAUUAAAAACACAGCACUGUGCAAACACGAAAGUGGACGUAUACGGUGUGACGCCUGCCCGGUGCCGGAAGGUUAAUUGAUGGGGUCAGCGUAAGCGAAGCUCCUGAUCGAAGCCCCGGUAAACGGCGGCCGUAACUAUAACGGUCCUAAGGUAGCGAAAUUCCUUGUCGGGUAAGUUCCGACCUGCACGAAUGGCGUAAUGAUGGCCAGGCUGUCUCCACCCGAGACUCAGUGAAAUUGAACUCGCUGUGAAGAUGCAGUGUACCCGCGGCAAGACGGAAAGACCCCGUGAACCUUUACUAUAGCUUGACACUGAACAUUGAGCCUUGAUGUGUAGGAUAGGUGGGAGGCUUUGAAGUGUGGACGCCAGUCUGCAUGGAGCCGACCUUGAAAUACCACCCUUUAAUGUUUGAUGUUCUAACGUGGACCCGUAAUCCGGGUUGCGGACAGUGUCUGGUGGGUAGUUUGACUGGGGCGGUCUCCUCCUAAAGAGUAACGGAGGAGCACGAAGGUUGGCUAAUCCUGGUCGGACAUCAGGAGGUUAGUGCAAUGGCAUAAGCCAGCUUGACUGCGAGCGUGACGGCGCGAGCAGGUGCGAAAGCAGGUCAUAGUGAUCCGGUGGUUCUGAAUGGAAGGGCCAUCGCUCAACGGAUAAAAGGUACUCCGGGGAUAACAGGCUGAUACCGCCCAAGAGUUCAUAUCGACGGCGGUGUUUGGCACCUCGAUGUCGGCUCAUCACAUCCUGGGGCUGAAGUAGGUCCCAAGGGUAUGGCUGUUCGCCAUUUAAAGUGGUACGCGAGCUGGGUUUAGAACGUCGUGAGACAGUUCGGUCCCUAUCUGCCGUGGGCGCUGGAGAACUGAGGGGGGCUGCUCCUAGUACGAGAGGACCGGAGUGGACGCAUCACUGGUGUUCGGGUUGUCAUGCCAAUGGCACUGCCCGGUAGCUAAAUGCGGAAGAGAUAAGUGCUGAAAGCAUCUAAGCACGAAACUUGCCCCGAGAUGAGUUCUCCCUGAGACUUUAGGUCUCCUGAAGGAACGUUGAAGACGACGACGUUGAUAGGCCGGGUGUGUAAGCGCAGCGAUGCGUUGAGCUAACCGGUACUAAUGAACCGUGAGGCUUAACCUU
rnacentral:rRNA from 1 species